GACGUAGGGCGCAAGCGUUGUCCGGAUUUAUUGGGCGUAAAGAGCUCGUAGGCGGUCUGUUACGUCUGCUGUGAAAACCCAGGGCUUAACCCUGGGCUUGCAGUGGAUACGGGCAGACUAGAGGCAGGUAGGGGAGAAUGGAAUUCCCGGUGUAGCGGUGAAAUGCGCAGAUAUCGGGAGGAACACCGGUGGCGAAGGCGGUUCUCUGGGCCUUACCUGACGCUGAGGAGCGAAAGCGUGGGGAGCAAACAGG
rnacentral:rRNA from 1 species